AGUGUCUUAGCAUUGAGAAAUUGUGAUAAUUUACUGCUCAAAUAGACUGAGUUUGAAAUUAGGAGAAGGCAAAGGAAGAAGAUGUGUUCCUUCGGAUACUAUAAUCAUUUUCUACUCAAAGAGAAUCAGUUCGAAAUGAGGAGAAGAUAGAGGAAGAAAAUCAAGCCCUUGUUGCAGCUAUUUGUUUGCCAAUGACUUUCCAUGUUGUUGGAUCCAAUGUGUUAGAAUUCCUUAAUUAGUGUAAAUUAG
rnacentral:misc_RNA from 1 species